AUGACAAAAUAACUUAUACCUGACCAAGAUGGCUGCCAUUUCCAGCACUUUCUAGAGUUAUGAAGGUUUAUGACAGGCCACUCUCUGUUUCUAGGUUAUUGUAUCUCCAUGUGUGUACUGAUUUGAUUGCUGGUUCUUCUUCACAGGUUGCCUAACAUUGGCAACACUUGCUUCCUAAAUGCCACCCUGCAGUGCCUCCUGGUCCUGCCUUCCUUCUCAAAGGAAAUCCUACGCCAGGAACAACUCUGGAACUCCUCCCCCUUCUCCAACCUGCUCAGUGGCGCAAACCAGGCCUCAAAAGCAGACCUCAUGUGGAAGGUCAAGUACUCCUUGUCGGGAUAUGAUUUGAAGUAUCUGGGGGACACGCAACAGGACGCACACGAGUUACUUG